AACGCGAAGAACCUUACCUGGGUUUGAAGUGCUAGGGAAUACGGUAGAGAUAUCGUAGCUCUUCGGAGCUCUAGUAUCAGGUGCUGCAUGGCUGUCGUCAGCUCGUGUCGUGAGAUGUCGGGUUAAGUCCCAUAACGAGCGCAACCCCUGUGUUUAGUUGCCAGCAUUCAGUUGGGCACUCUAGACAGACUGCCGACGUUAAGUCGGAGGAAGGUGGGGAUGACGUCAAGUCCUCAUGGCCUUUAUGUCCAGGGCUACACACGUGCUACAAUGGUCGGUACAAAGGGUUGCAAAACUGCGAGGUUGAGCUAAUCCCAAAAAACCGAUCUAAGUUCGGAUUGGAGUCUGCAACUCGACUCCAUGAAGCUGGAAUCGCUAGUAAUCGCGGAUCAGAACGCCGCGGUGAAUACGUUCCCGGGCCUUGUACACACCGACGCAC
rnacentral:rRNA from 1 species